UCAAUUUCUUAACUUUUACAAUUUUUGCAGGCACCAGAGGAUUUUCUGGGACAGGAUAAUAGACAGAGUGAGGACAUUGUCACCUUGGUGUGAGGAAAGCUGCCUAAGCAGAAUCGAGUGACUGGAGGAGCACUUGUUGAGCUUGAUGUUCAUGCUGAGGAUGUUCUUGCAUCUCUAUCACACAAACAUUGCACCCAAAAAGCUAAAGUUGGAUCAAGCUCAAGGAAAGUUAAAAAUUUCUAUGGAGGGUCUAAGAAAGAAACAGACAAACCUGAGGGAGGUUCAAGAUAAAUUUGCUGUAUUCCAGCAGACACAGAAAUCCAAGAAACAAGAGAAAGCAGACAUGGAAAAUCAGAAAUAUGAAGAUACAGAACCUGAAUGCCAGCUGCCAGCGUGAAGGAUGCUAGUCGUCCCCAGAGAAAGUUUGGAAUAACCCUCUUUUGAAGAUUUUACCCAGUGAAAGCAGAGGUGGGCAGCCCCACAGAAAACUAUCUGUAGCUAAAAUAAGUGAAAGGUGCUGACUUUUAGCAGUAAAGAUCAAAGAGGUGUGGGACAGCUAUGUGUGCCUUCACACAGCCAAACUGGAGUAAAUAAAAAGUCCUUCAUGUAAGCUGUGUUCCAU
rnacentral:lncRNA from 12 species